UGGGCUCUCUUCACCCUGGGGUGGAGAGACUCAGGGGAUCUGAGGUGUGAACUCCGGGUCCGCUGGUCUCAUCAAGGCCUACAGCUAAGACCCCGCACCACACACCAGCCCUGGUGAUCGGAGCCCUCAAAGCCUGCAGGGUGUCGGCACAGGGUGCAGCAGCUUCCGCUGAGGCUGAUCCGUCCCCACGUCUGCUCUGCCUCCUUGAGUCCGAGCUGGGUGCUCCACAAGGGGAGGGCUCUGGCCGACCCGUGCCUGGCCCAAGCAGGAGACGCCAUCAGGCUUCUGUGACCCAUUCUAGACCCUGGUGCGUCGGACCAGGUGACAGAAACCAAAGGCUUGUGGAGCGAGCCUGGCCUUGGAUUUCCCGUGGCUGGGGCGAGGAGAGACGCAGGGAAGUGGACAUCCGCAGGGCCGUGGGAGCUCCGCUGGGCACAGCUGCGUUCCUGAGCUGCCACUGCUGGAGGGAGCGGCCGUUUGCUGCAAUUUUUGUCAAAUAACACAUGUGUGUCCCCCUCCACCUUAGUCACCAGAUCUCACGCUGUGGGACUCCUGCCUCUUCCCCAGAGUCAAAAUGACCAUGAAAGGUAAACGGCUGGAGUCACUUUAGGACAUUGAAGCAGCCCAGCAGCACAACCAAAGACCCUCUCGAAAGAGGACUUCCAGAACUGCUUCAGAAAGUGGCCAGAGUGAUGGGAUAAACGUGCUCGAACGAAGCAAGGGGGACUCGUGGCAGUAUGUCUUUUACGGGAUUUCGGCCUGCUUGGGGAAUCGCCCUGAGACAAAUUCCCAGAGGAAGCUCGGUGCGUGUCUAAUUCCAGCGGUGACCCAUGGGAGAGUAAGAAAUGGACCAAGGAGAGCUAGAGCCACUGCUGCCGUCAGUCCAUCGCCCGAACCCUUGUGUUGAGCCCCGACAAAGAUUUAAAAACGCCACAUUGCUAACAGCCAGCAAGGCUCCAGAUGCUUGCGCCGAGCCCCAGUGCAGUGGUGCCCUCCGAGCCGCUGUGGCCCUUCAGCCUCCGUGCCAGCUGUGCGGACAAAGAGGUGGGCACCGUCUCCUAGCCAGGGCCAGAACUCAGUGUGUUCUCCUGGCUCUGGCCAAUGGGUGCCUGCUCAAGCUUGGCAUAUUUCUCCUGACUCCUGUACAUAGCCAGUGGCUUGGUUCGUCCAUCGCUUGGAAAACCACGGCCUGGCGGAUGAACCAUGCCCCCUCUUUGGGGCCUUGGACCAGAAACGAGUGGAAGCUGCUGAUUGACCUGUGUGGGUCCCCUUGGAGACGCCUGUCCCCAUUACUGCCUGGACCUGUCACCUCCCAGGCAUAGCCACACCUGCCCCGCAUAGACCAGCAUGAAGCCAAGGACUCCGUUUCUGCCGCCGCAUUCCAGACUCCUGACUCCUGCGCGAAGCUGGCCUGGCUGCCUCCUGGGGGCCUGGCCCCUGCCUGGUGACGGCAGAUGAAUACCUCAAAUUUUUGGCCCUUCUCUUGUGGCUAUCACUGCUCAGGACACUGUUCCAGGUUGUGGUGAUGCCGUUCCAGUCAGAUCAGCCCGUUCCAGCCACGGUGUUAUGAUCCUGGAAAUGAACCUGUGUCCUGGGCACGUUGCUUUCCAGGAUUUGACUGCCGUUUGCCUUAACUUUACCAAAAACCUGAGAAGUUACAGGAAAAGGUGCGUGCUAGCCCAGCUCCUGACUGCUGCCACCUGCCUGGAGGUGGGGAUCCACGCGCUGGUCUGGGGCCCUGAAGGCCCAGGUAAGGGGCCCGGGUAACCUUGCUCGUCACCUGCCCAGGAGACGCCUCAGGGCCUGCCAAAUGCUUUGUCACAGAGAGACAACUGCAGAGCUAAGCCGUGGCCUGAGGUCACACAGCCCGGUGGUGGCCCUGGGUCUGCCGGCUCUGAGCCAGCACUUGGGUUCUGGUACCCACACGGGGCUGGGAGCCUCUCAGGCCCAUGGCUCUGGCCCGCAGCUUUCCUGUCUCAGUCUGAGCCCUGCCUGGACAGCGUCCUUGGGAGGCUCAGAGGCUGGGUGAGCUUGGAGUGCCCACCGGGCUCCCCAGCCCUGCUUCCCUGGGGCAUCUGGAGAGGGCCGAGUUCUCGUAGCAGAGGAUGGGGGACAGAG